rnacentral:rRNA from 1 species
CACGUAGGUAAUUUUCCCUUGAGCGGGGGACAACGUUCCGAAAGGGACGCUAAUACCGCAUAAGUUCUUGGGUGCUUUGGCACUGGAGAGGAAAGCUAGGCCGCAAGGUCUGGCACUCGAGGAGAGGCCUGCGUCGCAUCAGCUAGUUGGUGGGGUAAUGGCCUACCAAGGCAAAGACGCGUAGCUGGUCUGAGAGGAUGAUCAGCCACACUGGGACUGAGACACGGCCCAGACUCCUACGGGAGGCAGCAGUGGGGAAUAUUGGACAAUGGGCGCAAGCCUGAUCCAGCCACGCCGCGUGAGUGAUGAAGGCCUUCGGGUCGUAAAGCUCUGUGGGGAGGGACGAACCGCUGUACGUUCAUAGCGUGCAGCAUGACGGUACCUCCUUAGCAAGCACCGGCUAACUUCGUG